GCUUUAGCCUCGUUUGGCUUUCGGGAAGUGGCCUCCUCUUGUCUCCCUUUUCCGGCGAUGGUCGGGAAGAAGGGGCGAGCUGAGGAGCUGUGGGAGUGAGCUCCGGAGUCACAGACUUGCAAGGGGCCUUUGGAGAUCUUCCAGGCCGACCUCUGCUCCUACGUCACAGAUAUGGAAAUUGAGGCAGUGAGAGGCUGACCCACUAAGCCCAGAGCGAGCACGUGGGCGGGGGGAAGGAGCGGACUGCUUUUCUUUCCUUUUUCGCCGGAUCCUGCGGCGCUAGUGUGUUUGAAGACAACACUACGGAACCCAAGAGUAACCGGAAGUAGCAGAGAUUGGUGGAGGAGGGAGAGGAAGGACCAAAGAUCAAUCUCUUUGAAAAAUAACCACAAAAUCACAGAAUUUCAUAAUUGGAAGAGACCAGAGCUGCCAUGUAUUUCAACUAUCCACUACAACAGGACAAAAGGUAUUCAUCCAGCAUUUAUUUGAAGACUUCCACUAAAAAAGAAAUCACCAUCUGAGCAAAAUCAGCAGACAACUUUGGUGAUGAUUCAACACAAGGAGGAACUGAACCAUCUUCAUCUAGAUAUCUACCACCAAAAGGAUGGCAAUUUAUCCUUAGGAUGAGAACAGAUCUGUUACAGUGUCCAUCCAGCUUAUCCCCACACAAAGAUGAAGAGAAGAUAGAGGAAAUAAACCUGUGGCUUCUCUGUAGAAUGUUUGCAUCAGAUAUGUAAAUCAUAAGAUCAUACAUACAAAGAGAUAUGGUAUCAUUCAUGACUACCAAAAAUCCUCUGAAAAUCAAGUAUAAUGCUUUAAAAACCCAGUUGAACUACUUCCAGAUUAUCAUGGUAGGGAUGGUGUACCUAGGAAUGCCUAUUGAAUCUUACCAAGAAAAAUAAAUUUGCUUGAGCAAACAGGAAUAGCCUGGAGAUUGAUCUUCUGGGAUGGUAAUAUAUCCUACUCAGAGAAUAGACAUCUAGUUCUAAGUAUUGGAAUUUUAUCCUAUUGCUGGUAGAUUACCUCUAGCAAUUAAGACUGGAAGAACUAAAAAAAAGUUGUGAUUUAGAGGAAGCUCUGCCAUCCAAUGAGUAUUCAAAUUCUGUUUUUCUCAUUGGUUGUUUUACUUUUAGACUACAGUUCCUCUAAUGAAAGCAUUAAGGAAAUUGAAUUCACGUAUGGAUCUGAUCUUGGUUAAGUUGCCAAAUCAUCUAAAAGUCUUUUUAUGGUUGCUGUUGUCAAUGAUGGAAUGUCAUGCUCAAGAGGAAGUCCUCUUCCUUAAAUAUAACUUUGACUGUAAGUAGUUCUUUUUGUAAUGUCACAUAAAUCCCUUUUGUUUUUAGAAGUAAGCAUAGCACUGGAGAAUAAGAUAAAGAUCAUUUCAGCUUUUAAAAGGAUGGCCUCCAUGGUAAUGAUAGACAAUCUAUUUCCAUGAAGAAUGAUUUAUAUAAGUCUGGGGAAAAAAAGAUGGGCCUGAAAUAAUCUGGUUCCUAAGAGUGUGGCUUGUACUUUUUCCACUUUUUGUUAUUGCUACAAUUAGAAAGGAGAGACAACUAAUCUGUGGACCAGGAAGAAAAUUACAGUUAUUAACCAUCAUAGACAUAAAACAUUUCUUUCUCCGUGAGGAUGCCUUUAGGCAGCCUAUAAAAAUAGAUCACACCCAGGCUUCUAGGGCCUUAUUUCUCUAUUUAUUUUUACCUUAGAGAACUCUUGUGUUUUCAGCAAGGGGAGCAAAGGAACCAGAAUUAUUUGAAUGAUAAUGAUAGAUUCAAUAUAAUUAGCAAUAAAUAUCAUUAGUAAUAAGUUAAUCAACAUAAAAUUACUUAAAACUUACUCAAUUUUAUUUUUAUUUUAUUUUUUCCUUUAUUAAAGCUU